rnacentral:rRNA from 1 species
CACUCCUGCGGGAGGCAGCAGUGAGGAAUAUUGGACAAUGGGUGGAAGCCUGAUCCAGCCAUCCCGCGUGCAGGAAGACGGCCCUAUGGGUUGUAAACUGCUUUUAUCUGGGGAUAAACCUACUUACGUGUAAGUAGCUGAAGGUACCAGAAGAAUAAGCACCGGCUAACUCCGUGCCAGCAGCCGCGGUAAUACGGAGGGUGCAAGCGUUAUCCGGAUUUAUUGGGUUUAAAGGGUCCGUAGGCGGACUGAUAAGUCAGUGGUGAAAUCCGACAGCUUAACUGUCGAACUGCCAUUGAUACUGUUAGUCUUGAGUAAGGUUGAAGUGGCUGGAAUAAGUAGUGUAGCGGUGAAAUGCAUAGAUAUUACGUAGAACACCAAUUGCGAAGGCAGGUCACUAAGUCUUAACUGACGCUGAUGGACGAAAGCGUGGGGAGCGAACAGGAUUAGAAACCCUAGUAGUCCCA